rnacentral:Y_RNA from 10 species
AGUGGGUACCCGAUGGUAGUGGGUUAUCAGAACUUAUUAACAUUAGUGUCACUAAAAUUGAUAUGCAACCCCCCACUGCUCAAAAUGACAGGCUUAAU